GUCACCUUUACAGAGAAUCAAGGCCAGCAGGCAUUCACAGGGGGCAGUAAGCCCCCAACUCCCAGCACCGUGGAGCCUCCAGCAGAAGGCAGGAAGGCCAGCCCGGCCCCUGCGAAGUCCCCGACGCUGGAAGUGCCAGCCGUCUCUUCAGCCACAGUCACUGCCGACCUGCACGGGCCUGCAAACACACAGGUUGCUCCAGCCAUAAGCAGCAAGGAGAAGAGAGAGCAGUGGAGUCUUCGCAGCAGCCUCUCCCCUCCCCCAUCCAUCUCCCGCCCCUCCACCCCAACUCCCCCGUCCCGAACCUGCUCCCCGCUGCCCCUCUCCAGAACCUGCUCCCCUCUACCUCUGUCCCGCACCUCCUCCCCCCUCCCUCCACCGCUCCCAGUUCUGGGCACUGCACCUGCUCCAGGCCCCCCGCCACCUCCACCGCUGCCCCCGGCCCCCCUCCUUCCCCUGCCUCCGCCGGGGCCAUCCAGGAUCAGAGAGAGCCCCGGGGACGAGGACACGACUGCGCUGCUGCCACGUAGCGACACCCUGCUGCACCUCAGCGAGGAUGACGGCACCGAGAACCCUCUUCUCACCCCGCUGCUGUCCCCUCCUUCCCCCCGCCACUCUCCCCUGCCCCUCUCACCUGUGGACCUGGACUUGGAUGAGUCUCACGUGUGAGUCAAAAAUCAAAGAUUGCUGCUGUCUUUUUCCUUCACUCAGAUCCUUCCCUUCAGCUUUGCCCUGAAACUAAACUGCUCUCUCCUCUGUGUUGUUCUAAUUUCUCACUCCUUCCUCUCUAUGCUGGCCUCCUGUUGUGUCUCUACGGUGUCAAAUAUUAAUGAAUAUCUGUCCUUAAGCUGAGGACUGAAUGUAAAUCAUGGCAGCAAUCUAACUUUUUUCUCCAUCUCAGAUAUUUAUUUUAUAUUUAAUAUUAAAAGCAAGUACUCAAAUGUUAUUUAACUGAUUAAUGCUUCUAAUAUAUUUAAAUAUAUAUAUAUUGAAAUGCUAUAACUUUUACAAUGGUGCAGAGAAGAAUAUUGAAGCUAAUCUAAAAAGGGUA
rnacentral:lncRNA from 1 species